GACUAGGUAGCAUAGUGGUUAUGCGUAAGAUUGCAAAUCUUUUUUAGGCCAGUUCGAAUCUGGCCCUAGUUU
rnacentral:tRNA from 1 species